CCUACGGGAGGCAGCAGUGAGGAAUAUUGGUCAAUGGACGCAAGUCUGAACCAGCCAUGCCGCGUGCAGGAAGACGGCUCUAUGAGUUGUAAACUGCUUUUGUACGAGGAUAAACGCGGAUACGCGUAUCUGUCUGAGAGUAUCGUACGAAUAAGGAUCGGCUAACUCCGUGCCAGCAGCCGCGGUAAUACGGAGGAUGCAAGCGUUAUCCGGAUUUAUUGGGUUUAAAGGGUGCGUAGGCGGUCGGAUAAGUUAGAGGUGAAAUCCCGAGGCUCAACUUCGGAAUUGCCUCUGAUACUGGUCGGCUAGAGAGGAGUUGCGGUAGGCGGAAUGUAUGGUGUAGCGGUGAAAUGCUUAGAGAUCAUACAGAACACCGAUUGCGAAGGCAGCGUACCAAGUUAACUCUGACGUUGAGGCACGAAAGCGUGGGGAGCAAACAGGAUUAGAUACCCUAGUAGUC
rnacentral:rRNA from 1 species